rnacentral:rRNA from 1 species
UACGUAGGGGGCAAGCGUUGUCCGGAUUUAUUGGGCGUAAAGAGCGUGUAGGCGGCCAGGUAGGUCUGCUGUGAAAACUCGAGGCUUAACCUCGAGCUGUCGGCGGAAACCAUCUGGCUAGAGUCCGGAAGAGGAGAAUGGAAUUCCCGGUGUAGCGGUGAAAUGCGCAGAUAUCGGGAAGAACACCCGUGGCGAAGGCGGUUCUCUGGGACGGCACUGACGCUGAGACGCGAAAGCGUGGGGAGCGAACAGG